GAACGCACAUUGCACUCCUUUGGAGUAUGCCUGUUUGAGAAUCUAUAGUAUUUAUUUUUGGUUAUUUCGCAAGAGAUAAUCAAGAGAUUUGAGAUGUCUCGUCUUGGCGAGUAUCUUUAAUGUUAUAGCCUCUUUUGUGGUAAAUCAACUCUGCAGAACAGUAUUUGAAUGGAACUUUGGUUUCUUUAAUGCUUAAUAUGCAGACUUACCUAUUGAAAAGGGGGUCCAUAAACUUAAAGUAGUACUUCGGUGCUACUUGAACCAUGGUCUCAAAUCAGGUAGGAAGACCCGCUGAACUUAA
rnacentral:misc_RNA from 2 species